rnacentral:rRNA from 1 species
UACACACCGCCCGUCACACCAUGGGAGUUGGUUUUACCCGAAGCCGGUGGGCUAACCUCGCAAGAGGAGGCAGCCGACCACGGUCAGGUCAGCGACUGGGGUG